rnacentral:rRNA from 1 species
AUUGAACGCUGGCGGCAGGCCUAACACAUGCAAGUCGAGCGAGCGGCGGACGGGUGAGUAAUGUCUGGGAAACUGCCUGAUGGAGGGGGAUAACUACUGGAAACGGUAGCUAAUACAGCAUACCAUCAGAUGUGCCCAGAUGGGAUUAUCUAGUAGGUGGGGUAACGGCUCACCUCGGCGACGAUCCCUAGCGGGUCUGAGAGGAUGACCAGCCACACUGGAACUGAGACACGGUCCAGACUCCUACGGGAGGGAGCAGUGGGGAAGAUUGCACAAUGGGCGAAAGCCUGCGGCAGCCAGGCCGCGUGUGUGAAGAAGGCCUUCGGGUUGUAAAGCACUUUCAGCGGGGAGGCGUUACCCGCAGAAGAAGCACCGGCUAACUCCGUGCCAGCAGCCGCGGUAAUUC